rnacentral:rRNA from 1 species
GGAUGUAAAAGUCGUAACAAGGUCUCCGUUGGUGAACCAGCGGAGGGAUCAUUACCGAGUUUACAACUCCCAAACCCAAUGUGAACGUUACCAAUCUGUUGCCUCGGCGGGAUUCUCUGCCCCGGGCGCGUCGCAGCCCCGGAUCCCAUGGCGCCCGCCGGAGGACCAACUCAAACUCUUUUUUCUCUCCGUCGCGGCCUACGUCGCGGCUCUGUUUUAUUUUUGCUCUGAGCCUUUCUCGGCGACCCUAGCGGGCGUCUCGAAAAUGAAUCAAAACUUUCAACAACGGAUCUCUUGGUUCUGGCAUCGAUGAAGAACGCAGCGAAAUGCGAUAAGUAAUGUGAAUUGCAGAAUUCAGUGAAUCAUCGAAUCUUUGAACGCACAUUGCGCCCGCCAGUAUUCUGGCGGGCAUGCCUGUCCGAGCGUCAUUUCAACCCUCGAACCCCUCCGGGGGGUCGGCGUUGGGGAUCGGCCCCUCACCGGGCCGCCCCCGAAAUACAGUGGCGGUCUCGCCGCAGCCUCUCCUGCGCAGUAGUUUGCACACUCGCACCGGGAGCGCGGCGCGGCCACAGCCGUAAAACACCCCAAACUCUGAAAUGUUGACCUCGGAUCAGGUAGGAAUACCCGCUGAACUUAAGCAUAUCAAUAAGCGGAGGA